GACAGAGGGUGCAAACGUUGCUCGGAAUUACUGGGCGUAAAGCGCGUGUAGGCGGACCGUAAAGUCAGGUGUGAAAGCCCUGGGCUCGACCCAGGAACUGCAUUUGGAACUCACGGUCUAGAGUAGUGGAGAGGGAAGUGGAAUUCCUGGUGUAGAGGUGAAAUUCGUAGAUAUCAGGAGGAACACCAGUGGCGAAGGCGGCUGCCUGGACACUAACUGACGCUGAGUCGCGAAAGCGUGGGGAGCAAACAGG
rnacentral:misc_RNA from 1 species